UCCGUAGGUGAACCUGCGGAGGGAUCAUUACCGAGUGCGGGCUGCCUCCGGGCUCCCAACCUCCCACCUGUGAACGUUACCUAACACUGUUGCUUCGGCGGGGAUCUCUGCCCCGGGUGCGUCGCAGCCCCGGACCAAGGCGCCCGCCGGAGGACCAACCUGAACUCUUUUUGUAUACCGCCUCGCGGGUUUUUUUAUGAUCUGAGCCUUCUCGGCGCCUCUCGUAGGCGUUUCGAAAAUGAGUCAAAACUUUCAACAAUGGAUCUCUUGGUUCUGGCAUCGAUGAAGAACGCAGCGAACUGCGAUAAGUAAUGUGAAUUGCAGAAUUCAGUGAAUCAUCGAGUCUUUGAACGCACAUUGCGCCCGCCUGGUAUUCUGGGGGGCAUGCCUGUCCGAGCGUCAUUUCUUCCCUCGAAGCCCUCCGGGUUGUCGGUGUUGGGUCGAUCGUCCCUCCCUUAGCGGGUGGACGGUCUCCUAAAUGCAGUGGCGGUCUCGCCGCUGUCCUGUCCUCGCGCAGUAUGGGGCUUUGUCACACUCGCAUCGAUUAGGAGCGCGGCCGCGUCGCACAGCCGGCUUAAACAUCCAACUUCUGAAAUGUUGACCUCGGAUCAGGUAGGAAUACCCGCUGAACUUAAGCAUAUCAAUAAGCGGAGGAAAA
rnacentral:rRNA from 1 species